UACGUAGGGGGCAAGCGUUGUCCGGAUUUAUUGGGCGUAAAGAGCGUGUAGGCGGCUUGGUAGGUCCGCUGUGAAAACUCGAGGCUCAACCUCGAGAUGUCGGCGGAAACCACUUGGCUAGAGUCCGGAAGAGGAGAGUGGAAUUCCUGGUGUAGCGGUGAAAUGCGCAGAUAUCAGGAAGAACACCUAUGGCGAAGGCAGCUCUCUGGGACGGUACUGACGCUGAGACGCGAAAGCCGGGGGAGCAAACAGG
rnacentral:rRNA from 1 species